GGAGUUGGGCAUGUGGUAGUUUAGGUUGACGUGUUGGAGUGUUGCUUCGUUCCAAGUCCAAUCUUGAAUAUGGCUUUAGCAUGGCCCAGAGAGGGUGAAAGGCCCGUGUGGACGGAGUGACGCUUUACUAUGUUGACUUUGGAGUCGGGUUGUUUGAGAAUGCAGCCCAAAGUUGGUGGUAAACUCCAUCUAAGGCUAAAUACUGGCACGAGUCCGAUAGCGAACAAGUACCGUGAGGGAAAGUUGAAAAGUACUCUGAAGAGAGAGUUAACAGUGCGUGAAACCGCUUAGAGGCAAACGGGUGUAGUCAAGCUGCAAGCUCAUUGAAAUAGGAGGGCCAGAAUGGCGUGAGUCUGAGCACAUAGAGCUGUCAGGUGGUGCGUCCAUAUGGGCGUGUUCGCUUCGCAAGGAGCGGAUCUGUGAAGUAACAAUCGUUGCUGCAGGCCGUCAUUGGCAGUUGCUCUGCUGGCCCUCUCACUUUCUUUGGGCGUAUGUCACGACCGUCGUUGCUGUCGGUCUGCUCCGUCUAAACCGCAUCAGGAGUAGUCUUGUGCUUCUCGUGAUAUGGAGGCAGGUAGCUGGGCAAUGUCAUUUGAUAUUGCUCAGUGUUAUUGCUGGGCGGAGUGGUACCUGUAACUGUGCAGUGCGGCGGGGCUGGCGGUGCAUUGGUUCCUGGAUUGCUAAAACCUGUUGGCGUGACGUGGGUCUGGUUGCUUGUUGCUGUCUGAGACGGCCUUGUGACGGCUCUGUUACGGUUUGAUGGGUGGCCGAGUCUGGGCUUUCUUUGCGUUGAGCCUAUAGUCUGUGGCGUAGUGGUAGACGAUCCACCCGACCCGUCUUGAAACACGGACCAAGGAGUUUAACAUGUGCGCGAGUCAAUGAGUAUUGCUUUGCAUACGAAACUCAAAGGCGCAGUGAAAGUAAAGGGCAACCUAGUUGCCUGAGUGAGAUCCCGCUAUUUCUCUUGUGAUUUGAUCAGACAGUAGAGUGGUGGGCGCAUCACCGGCCCGUCCCAUGGUGUAGUUGGGCUUGCCUAUCAGCACCGGGGCGGAGCAGGAGCGUACAUGUUGAGACCGAAAG
rnacentral:rRNA from 1 species